rnacentral:rRNA from 1 species
AUUGAACGCUGGCGGCAGGCUUAACACAUGCAAGUCGAACGAGUGGCGGACGGGUGAGUAAUGCUUGGGAAUCUAGCUUAUGGAGGGGGAUAACUACGGGAAACUGUAGCUAAUACCGCGUACCAUAGGAUGAGCCCAAGUGGGAUUAGGUAGUUGGGGAGGUAAAGGCUCACCAGGCCGACGAUCUCUAGCUGGUCUGAGAGGCUGACCUGCCACACGGGAACUGGGGAACGGCCAGGACUCCUACGGGAGGCAGCAGUGGGGAAUAUUGCACAAUGGGCGCAGGCCUGAGGCAGCCAUGCCGCGUGUAUGAAGAAGGCCUUAGGGUUGUAAAGUACUUUCAGCGGGGAGGCGUUACCCGCAGAGGAAGCACCGGCUAACUCCGUGCCAGCAGCCGCGGUAAUAC